rnacentral:lncRNA from 1 species
UCCAGAUCUAUGAUAAAACUAUGGAGAAGAAGAUGGAGCCAGAAGUGUACAAGUGUCAAGGAAUUAAUGAGUCUAUAGUACUAUGCAGCACUGAGCAUGUUCUCCUAUCUCCUCAAAGAAGAGAGAGAACCCUUACAUUUACUUAUCAGAGAACUGAGAAGAUGAAACCACAUUCUUCAUGUGUGAAGAAUCAAGUCACAUUGUACCCUAGGGACUCAAUAAGGCUACUCCAUCUUGCAAAAAAAAAGAUAUCCUACUAGAAAUAUUAAAAUAAAAUGUCAAGACGUGUAUU